UCAGUGAGCCGUGGGAAGGCAAAGCACUCUCUUUCCUUCCUAUUCCUUACUGCGCUUUGGAGUGGUAUUUAAAACCUGGAUAGCUGUGGAGCUGUGAAAGCCAUUUGGUACCCAGGCUUCUCUGACUGGACAAGAGAGCUCGAUGAGCUUUGACGCCGAGAACUGUAAUGAUCUUCAGAGGAGGAGGAAGAAAUCGCUCUCCCAGCUUGUUCAGCUCAUCGUGGACUAGGUUAAGAGAAAUGAACUUUGGCUUUGAGUUACUUUUGGUGUUGAUGUUGGGUGUGAAAGCAACACAAACCACGCUGGAUACAUAUGCAACGUUGUUUCCAAAACCCAUGGAAGAUCUUUUGUUCCCCCGGAACUCCACUAUCAAGAAUGUUUACCAACGGGAAAUUUCAAUCCUGUUGGUGAAGACAACUAACACUUAGAGCUAAGAGCUGCUGGAAGAGGAAGGGAUUUUGUGUUUAAAAGCACCUUAAAGGGCAGUUAACACCCAAGGGAGUCUGUGAAGCAAUGGCCAUGCUAACUGCUGUGAGCUACAAUGGGAUCUGUAGGUGAAUACCACAAGGCAGGGCUACCAACUGGUCGAUGGCUUUUGUAAGUCACCUGUUGUGCGUAGGAUGCAAUGUAAGAUAAUUUGUAUGUUAUUAAACUGUUGAUUAAACGUGGUGCCGGCA
rnacentral:lncRNA from 1 species